AGUGAACGCUGGCGGUAGGCCUAACACAUGCAAGUCGAACGGCAGCACAGUAAGAGCUUGCUCUUACGGGUGGCGAGUGGCGGACGGGUGAGGAAUACAUCGGAAUCUACUUUUUCGUGGGGGAUAACGUAGGGAAACUUACGCUAAUACCGCAUACGACCUACGGGUGAAAGCAGGGGAUCUUCGGACCUUGCGCGAUUGAAUGAGCCGAUGCCGGAUUAGCUAGUUGGCGGGGUAAAGGCCCACCAAGGCGACGAUCCGUAGCUGGUCUGAGAGGAUGAUCAACCACACUGGAACUGAGACACGGUCCAGACUCCUACGGGAGGCAGCAGUGGGGAAUAUUGGACAAUGGGCGCAAGCCUGAUCCAGCCAUACCGCGUGGGUGAAGAAGGCCUUCGGGUUGUAAAGCCCUUUUGUUGGGAAAGAAAAGCAGCAGGUUAAUACCCCGCUGUUCUGACGGUACCCAAAGAAUAAGCACCGGCUAACUUCGUG
rnacentral:rRNA from 1 species